rnacentral:rRNA from 1 species
UUGACGGGGGCCCGCACAAGCGGUGGAGCAUUGUGGGUUUAAUUCGAAGCAACGCGAAGAACCUUACCAGGUCUUGACAUCCCGAUGCUAUUUCUAGAGAUAGAAAGUUACUUCGGUACAUCGGUGACAGGUGGUGCAUGGUUGUCGUCAGCUCGUGUCGUGAGAUGUUGGGUUAAGUCCCGCAACGAGCGCAACCCCUAUUGUUAGUUGCCAUCAUUCAGUUGGGCACUCUAGCGAGACUGCCGGUAAUAAACCGGAGGAAGGUGGGGAUGACGUCAAAUCAUCAUGCCCCUUAUGACCUGGGCUACGCACGUGCUACAAUGGUUGGUACAACGAGUUGCGAGUCGGUGACGGCGAGCUAAUCUCUUAAAGCCAAUCUCAGUUCGGAUUGUAGGCUGCAACUCGCCUACAUGAAGUCGGAAUCGCUAGUAAUCGCGGAUCAGCACGCCGCGGUGAAUACGUUCCCGGGCCUU